rnacentral:tRNA from 1 species
UAGCUCAGUUGGGAGAGCAAUAGACUGAAGAUCUAAAGUUCCCUGGUUCGAUCCCGGG